UACGAAGGGGGCUAGCGUUGCUCGGAAUCACUGGGCGUAAAGCGCGCGUAGGCGGACUCUUAAGUCGGAGGUGAAAGCCUGGGGCUCAACCCCAGAAUUGCCUUCGAUACUGAGAGCCUUGAGAGUGGGAGAGGUGAGUGGAACUCCGAGUGUAGAGGUGAAAUUCGUAGAUAUUCGGAAGAACACCAGUGGCGAAGGCGGCUCACUGGCCCAUUUCUGACGCUGAGGCGCGAAAGCGUGGGGAGCAAACAGG
rnacentral:rRNA from 1 species